AAAGGAAGUAAGCAAAGUUCAUCCCAUUUGCAAGAAACAUACACUACUGUGACUGGUAGUCUGUCUCGUUGUGGCUUUUUGUAGCCUAUGCAACUGAGGAGCACAUGGAAGAGCCAGUCAGUACUCGGAGGACAUGGUUUAGCUUACCUAGUCUAAUCCACUGUUUCACGUUACAGAACAAUCGAAGGUCCUACCCCAAAUGAAUAGCAGGAUGUAACCUCUCUAUGUCUGUAAUUUCCAUAAAGUCCUCCAUGAUAUCUGGGGGUAUUGGCUCCUAGGGAUGCAAGCUUUAAAAGUAUGUCCUGGCAAUGAUGUCCCACAAGAGGGAAAUGUGAGUUGGUGAAAAAGUACAGACAUAGAUAUCUUUGUAAUAUUUUUUCUCAUAAAUAUUUUAAUUUGCUAUCAAGACCCCAUUUGAUCUUCAAUCAAAUGAGUGAUUUAAAGAAAAAAUUAUCUUUGGGGGCUGGGGAGAUGGCUCAUUGAGUACGAUUGCUUGCUUUGCAAUCAUGAGAACUUGAGUUCAAAACCCCAGUACCCACAUAAAAUGCUGGACGUGACUGUAUGCGCCUGUAAUCCCAGCAUUGGGAAGUAAGAGACAGGCAGAUCCCCCGGCACUCACUAACCCUCAGCCUUACCAGAACAGAGAACUCCUUUCUCAAAGAAAUAAGGCAGAGAUAGUGACACAAGAACAGGUAGACAUCGUUUUCUGGCUUUUGCACUUACAGAUGAAACAUACAUACAUACAUACAUACAUACAUACAUACACACACACUUUACCUUUGUAAUUUUUCUAAGUCGUAUUUCAGUCUUUCCUUCCUAUCACUGGGAUUUUGGGUAAUCGUCUUAACAGGUGGCUGGGAGGAAGUCAUGUGUGAAAACUCCUCAUAGCUUAUAGCAAAACAGAAGAUAUGCUCAGGAGAGAAGUGAAAAUCCAUAAAUGCAGUUAUCCCCCCACCACAAAGAGAGUAGUUUAGGGACACUGUGUGAUGCUACAUGGCCUGCAUGGGGAAACACUGAAGCCAUGUUUUCAGUUGCUUUUUCCUCCCUGGAAAUUCAUGCAAUAAACAGAGCCAAGAAACUUUGGAAUAUACUCUAGUGAAACAUAAAGGAGAUGAGAAAAAAGUCCUCUGAAACUCCAAUUUAACCAGUGCAUGCUAGCAGCCAAUCCAGUGUAUAACUGCCUCCUUUGUCCUUAGGGUUUGACAUUUCUGUACACUAGGAAAAAGAGAAUAUAUAUGCCUGGUGUGUUUGGAGCACUUGGCUGUUUCAAAUACUUUUAAGAUGAAUACUUGUUUCCUGCAUUUCCUUAAACAAGCUCCGUUAAACAUAUCAGUUAUCCCACAAUGCAUGGUUAUUCAGUAAAUUG
rnacentral:lncRNA from 1 species